rnacentral:rRNA from 1 species
UACGGGGGGGGCAAGCGUUGUUCGGAAUUACUGGGCGUAAAGGGCUCGUAGGUGGCCAACUAAGUCAGACGUGAAAUCCCUCGGCUUAACCGGGGAACUGCGUCUGAUACUGGAUGGCUUGAGUUUGGGAGAGGGAUGCGGAAUUCCAGGUGUAGCGGUGAAAUGCGUAGAUAUCAGGAGGAACACCGAUGGCGAAGGCAGGUCUCUGGGCAUUAACUGACGCUGAGGAGCGAAAGCAUGGGGAGCGAACAGG